AUCCAGCAGAUCCAAGAUGGCGUACUGAGCAGCGAUGUGCAGAAGUCCACUUUUAACUCUAAACAUUGAAGCUCGCUAUCCCUCGUUCCUUUAUUCGGAUUGAUGUCUGUUGAGAAAGAAUACCGGCUGUGGAUCCGGUUCAUGCUGUGGUCCAACCUGGGCUGAGCCUGCCAGGAGGACAGUUUGUCUUUAUCCUUCACAGCCAGCGUUGAAUUCAGGUCUGUGGUGGACAGGAGCAAAGGACUGAAUCUGAUGGGUACGUUGAUUUUGUUAUGAUGUCAUAUCAUUCACCACUGUUCGGAGGAUGACUAUGGAACAAAACAGCAGACUUACAGCGACAAUUGUACAUUAACCUGUGACAGCUGUGUGAUGAGUGAAUCACUGUGUGUAUUCAGUAAACCAUGUCAUUCGCACCUCGUCUGUACAAAAAGGACAGAAAUAACAGACAUUGUUCAGAACGUAGACUAUACCCCUACUAUUUCAGCCUUGACCCUCUGACAUGGCAAGCAGAUGUCUGCGUGAACCAGAAACUUCUGAAUGUGUCUGUAAAACCGUUUUCUUUGAGCUCUUGUUCCAUUCAGUUAGUUAGCGAAGUCAGACAAUUUACCUGGCCAUCUCCAAAAAUAAUGUACAAUUGUAUCACCAUGAAAACCUUCUAAAGUUUAUAUAAACCUCUAUUGAA